CCUACGGGCGGCAGCAGUGAGGAAUAUUGGUCAAUGGGCGGAAGCCUGAACCAGCCAAGUAGCGUGCGGGAUGAAGGCCCUACGGGUCGUAAACCGCUUUUGCACGGGGAUAACACCCGCCACUUGUGGAGGUCUGCAGGUACCGUGCGAAUAAGGGCCGGCUAAUUCCGUGCCAGCAGCCGCGGUAAUACGGAGGGUCCGAGCGUUAUCCGGAUUUAUUGGGCUUAAAGGGAGCGUAGGCGGGCGUUCAAGUCAGCGGUAAAAUCGCGCGGCUCAACCCCGGCCCGCAGUUGAAACUGGACGCCUUGAGUUCAGGACAGGCAGGCGGAAUUCGUGGUGUAGCGGUGAAAUGCAUAGAUAUCACGAGGAACCCCGAUUGCGAAGGCAGUCUGCCGGGGUGCGACUGACGCUGAGGCUCGAAGGUGCGGGUAUCAAACAGGAUUAGAUACCCGUGUAGUC
rnacentral:rRNA from 1 species